rnacentral:rRNA from 1 species
UGGGGAAUAUUGGACAAUGGGCGCAAGCCUGAUCCAGCCAUGCCGCGUGCGGGAAGAAGGCCUUCGGGUUGUAAACCGCUUUUGUCAGGGAAGAAACGCUCUGGGCUAAUACCCUGGGGUAAUGACGGUACCUGAAGAAUAAGCACCGGCUAACUACGUGCCAGCAGCCGCGGUAAUACGUAGGGUGCAAGCGUUAAUCGGAAUUACUGGGCGUAAAGCGUGCGCAGGCGGUUAUGCAAGACAGAUGUGAAAUCCCCGGGCUCAACCUGGGAACUGCAUUUGUGACUGUAUAGCUAGAGUACGGUAGAGGGGGAUGGAAUUCCGCGUGUAGCAGUGAAAUGCGUAGAUAUGCGGAGGAACACCGAUGGCGAAGGCAAUCCCCUGGACCUGUACUGACGCUCAUGCACGAAAGCGUGGGGAGCAAACAGGAUUAGAUACCCAUGUAGUCCCUGAGCGGGCUGGCAAGGCGCAU